AUUUUUAAGGUUAGUUUACUUAGAUCAAGUUUUUCAAGUUGGGCUUCUAUAAGUUAAGAUUUUAAGAUCGAGCUCUUCCAAGUCGAGUUUUCUUAGGUUGAACUUCCUCUAGUCGAGCUUUCAAGCCAAGUUCUUUAGAGCGAACUCCACCAAUCGAACUUUCUUAAGCUGACUUCCUCCUAGGCGAGAUACCUUCAAGUCAAUUUCCUCCGGGGCGAGAACCCGCUAAGUUGAGCUCCUCUAAGUCAAGCUCCCUUAGGUCGAAUUCC
rnacentral:lncRNA from 1 species